rnacentral:rRNA from 1 species
AAAAAAUUAGUACUCGUUGAUCCUGCGAGAGAUUGCUGCUUUUCGAGUUCUACUAAGCCAUGCAAGUCAAGGGGGUUUUUCGGAACCACCGGCGUCAUGCUCAGUAACAUGUUGAUAACCUGCACUUAGGUAGGGGAUAGCCUUGGGAAACUGAGGGUAAUACCCUAUAGGAAAUUUAUUCUGGAAUGAUUAAUUUCUCAAAGUUUUUCGCCUAAGUAUGGGUCAGCACCCGAUUAGCUUGAUGGUGGGGUAAAGGCCCACCAUGGCGACGAUCGGUAAGGGCCUUGAGAGAGGUUGCCCUGAGAGGAUCACUGAAACACUGGAUCCAGCCCUAC